rnacentral:rRNA from 1 species
CCUACGGGUGGCAGCAGUGAGGAAUAUUGGUCAAUGGACGAGAGUCUGAACCAGCCAAGUAGCGUGAAGGAUGACUGCCCUAUGGGUUGUAAACUUCUUUUAUCUGGGAGUAAAAUGUUCCACGUGUGGGGUUUUGUAUGUACCAUAUGAAUAAGGAUCGGCUAACUCCGUGCCAGCAGCCGCGGUAAUACGGAGGAUCCGAGCGUUAUCCGGAUUUAUUGGGUUUAAAGGGUGCGUAGGUGGAUUGUUAAGUCAGUGGUAAAAGUUUGCGGCUCAACCGUCAAACUGCAGUUGAAACUGGCAGUCUUGAGUACAGUAGAGGUGGGCGGAAUGCGCGGUGUAGCGGUGAAAUGCUUAGAUAUCACGAAGAACUCCGAUUGCGAAGGCAGUUCACUGGACUGAAACUGACACUGAGGCUCGAAAGUGUGGGUAUCAAACAGGAUUAGAUACCCUGGUAGUC